UACGAACUGUGCGAACGUUAUUCGGAAUCACUGGGCUUACAGGGUGCGUAGGCGGCUUGUUAAGUAGGGUGUGAAAGCCCCCGGCUCAACCGGGGAAUUGCGCCCUAAACUGGCGAGCUGGAGUGAGAUAGGGGUGUGUGGAACUUCCGGUGGAGCGGUGAAAUGUGUUGAUAUCGGAAGGAACACCGAUGGCGAAGGCAUCCCUGGACCUGUACUGACGCUCAUGCAC
rnacentral:rRNA from 1 species